UUCCAGACUCCUACGGGAGGCAGCAGUGGGGAAUAUUGCACAAUGGGGGAAACCCUGAUGCAGCGACGCCGCGUGAGUGAAGAAGUAUUUCGGUAUGUAAAGCUCUAUCAGCAGGGAAGAAGAGAGACGGUACCUGACUAAGAAGCCCCGGCUAACUACGUGCCAGCAGCCGCGGUAAUACGUAGGGGGCAAGCGUUAUCCGGAUUUACUGGGUGUAAAGGGAGCGUAGACGGCUGUGCAAGUCUGAAGUGAAAGCCCAGGGCUCAACCCUGGGACUGCUUUUGAAACUGGCAAACUGGAGUGUGUGAGAGGAUAGUGGAAUUCCAGGUGUAGGAGUGAAAUCCGUAGAUAUCUGGAGGAACAUCAGUGGCGAAGGCGACUAUCUGGCACAUAACUGACGCUGAGGAGCGAAAGCGUGGGUAGCAAACAGGAUUAGAUACCCGGGUAUA
rnacentral:rRNA from 1 species